rnacentral:rRNA from 1 species
AGAUUGAACGCUGGCGGCAUGCCUUACACAUGCAAGUCGAACGGCAGCACGGGAGCAAUCCUGGUGGCGAGUGGCGAACGGGUGAGUAAUACAUCGGAACGUGCCCAAUCGUGGGGGAUAACGCAGCGAAAGCUGUGCUAAUACCGCAUAAGAUCUACGGAUGAAAGCAGGGGAUCGCAAGACCUUGCGCGAAUGGAGCGGCCGAUGGCAGAUUAGGUAGUUGGUGAGGUAAAGGCUCACCAAGCCUUCGAUCUGUAGCUGGUCUGAGAGGACGACAGCCACACUGGGACUGAGACACGGCCCAGACUCCGUACGGGAGGCAGCAGGUGGGGAAUUUUGGACAAGUGGGACGAAAGCCUGAUCCAGCCAAUCGCCGCGUGCAGGA